UCUUCAAGACAUCUCCUCUCUCACGCCUCACACCGAAUGCUGCAACCCCUCUUAUGCCAAACGUCGACCUCAAUCCACCGAUCGACGUCCAUCCUCCUCCAUCUUCACCGUCAUCCUACCUUCGAUCCACUUCAGCUGCAGGUUCUUGAUGUCCACGCCGUCGAUCCUCACCGCGCCUGCAUCUGUGUCGUAGAAUUGUUGUAGCAGCACAACGACCGUUGCAUUCUCACUCCUGCUGGUGCCCACCAGCACCACCGUCUGCCCUGCUGGGACCAGAAGGCUGAAGUUCCUCAGCACAGACACCUCCGACCGUGAAGGGUACGCGAACAGGACCGAACCGAACGCCACCUCAUUGCGCAUCUCCUCCAUUUUCAACCCUUUGGGAUCCUCCACAUCAAUUCGUAGAUGCCUAUUGAUUCAAACGAGAUUACAAAGAAAGAAUCUUCCCUAUUUGGAUGGCCUUGGCCCGAUGGUCAUGGUUAACGCUACUGGUUUUGGCCGAAUGGCUUGCUGUUUCCGGUGGAAGAGAAAUUGCGAUCGAGCAUGAAAGUAACUAUCCUUGCUACAAUCAAACUAUUAAGAAGAUACUUGUGGAAUAUGCUUCUGCUGCUCAGGAAAAUUGUGUUUAGUUGUGGAAGAAAAAGAUAUUUUGAAGGUGAAUGGAGGUAUUCAGAAACUCCAACUAAACAGCUCGGGUAUGGAUGAUUAUAGGAGCAGCAACUACAUGCUAUGUGACACUGCAUCCGAACCUCAAGGGUGUAACAAGAAAGUACUUCGACGAAGAACUAUUAAGAAGACUUUGGGAUUUAGGCGAGAAAAUGGUUAAAACCAAUGAGUAAAGAAUAUUCAAGGCAAUAGGAUAAGUAGUAUCUAUCAAGAUCCUUUAAGUUCAUCCAAUAGGAUGUAGUCGAUAGGAGUAGUUUUGAGUAUCUCCUAAUUAAAAUUUCUUUGUAUGCAAGUAAUUAUGUUUAUUAUAGAAGUGUAAGGAUGAUAAUUUGUAUAUCUAUCUUAGUUGUUUAUUUAA